CGUUGGUCCAAGUGCACUGGUGUUUACAACUAAUUGAUCACAACCAGUUACAGCAGAUUCUUCUGUUUCUUCUCCACUCCCACUCCUUCACUUGAUCAGCCUAAA
rnacentral:Y_RNA from 1 species